CUACCCAGGGUUUGUCUCACCACUGCCCGGAGACAGCUACAGUCCAGGAAUCUCUGCUCAGAGGAUCACAUCCCUGAGUCUGAUCAGAGGAAAACCAACAACAGUAGAGUCAUGCAAAGCCUUGUUGGAGCCCAGGGUGGAUGUCCCAGCCUGGAGACACUGUCCCGUGAAGCCCUGAAGGGCAAACUCUUCUCCAGCUUCCCAGCACAGUUCAUCUUUCAGUGCAACGAAGGAGAAAGGACAAUAUUUUGACUUCUUCUUUCCCUUGAGCUUCAGAUCCAGCACAAGCAGUGUCUCAUGGAUGAGUGUCUCGGGGCUGGGAGUUCCUGGAGGAGCUGAAUGGGAAGGAGGAGCCUGGGGAUCCUUGGCAUGCAACUCUCUCCUGCUGCUCUUCAGAGGUGCCAAGAGCCUGUGCUGGCCUUCAUCCUCUCCUGCUCCUUCUUCCUCCUGAUUUAUUUAGAUCUGUGGAAGCCCUGAAGGCUACCUGGCAGGGUGAAGGGAUAGGGAGAUGCUUCUGGUGGUGCCAGGAAGAUCUGCAAGGAGAAGCAUUUGCCUGGGAUCACAGGAUGGUGGGAGCUGGAAGACAGGACUUCUGGCUCUCUGCAGCUCCCCGAAAGGAGGCUGCAGCCAGGUGAGGGUUGGCUUCUUCUCCCAAGGAACAAGUGACAGG